rnacentral:rRNA from 1 species
AGCAGCCGCGGUAAUUCCAGCUCCAAUAGCGUAUAUUAAAGUUGCUGCAGUUAAAAGCUCGUAGUUGAAUUUCGGGACUAAUAUGUCGGUCGUGCCUCGGUACGUACUGGUUUAUUGGUUUCUCCUUUCUGAAGAACCAUGAUGUCAUUUAUUUGGUGUCGUGGGGAAUCAGGACUGUUACUUUGAAAAAUUAGAGUGUUUAAAGCAGGCUCACGCUUGAAUACAUUAGCAUGGAAUAAUGAAAUAGGACGUUUGAUUCUAUUUUGUUGGUCUCUAGGAUCGACGUAAUGAUUAAUAGGGAUAGUUGGGGGCAUUAGUAUUCAAUUGUCAGAGGUGAAAUUCUUGGAUUUAUUGAAGACUAACUACUGCGAAAGCAUUUGCCAAGGAUUGUUUUCAUUAAUCAAGAACGAAAGUUAGGGAUCGAAGACGAUCAGAUACCGUGUAGUCUUA